rnacentral:tRNA from 1 species
GGGCCCGUGGUGUAGCUUGGUCUAGCAUCCAGGCUUCGGGAGCCUGAGACCCCGGUUCAAAUUUUUGGAAAUCCGGGCGGGCCCA